rnacentral:rRNA from 1 species
GAUGAACGCUUGCUACAGGCUUAACACAUGCAAGUCGAGGGGAAACGACGGCGGGGUUUCGGCCUUGCUGGGCGUCGACCGGCGAAUGGGUGAGUAACGCGUAUCCAACCUGCCCUUGUCCCGGGAACAGCCCUUGGAAACGAGGAUUAACGCCCGAUUCGCGUUUUAGCCGCAUGGCAUAGACGUAAAAUGAGAAGGACAAGGAUGGGGAUGCGUCUGAUUAGCUAGCUGGCGGGGUAACGGCCCACCAGGGCAUCGAUCAGUAGGGGUUCUGAGAGGAAGGUCCCCCACACUGGAACCGAGACACGGUCCAGACUCCUACGGGAGGCAGCAGUGAGGAAUAUUGGUCAAUGGCCGCGAGGCUGAACCAGCCAAGUAGCGUGAGGGAUGACGGCCCUAUGGGUUGUAAACCUCUUUUAUGCGGGGAUAAAAAGUGCCACGUGUGGCAUGUUGCAGGUACCGCAUGAAUAAGGACCGGCUAAUUCCGUGCCAGCAGCCGCGGUAAUACGGAAGGUCCGGGCGUUAUCCGGAUUUAUUGGGUUUAAAGGGAGCGCAGGCGGAGCGCCAAGUCAGCCGUCAAAUGGCUCAGCUCAACUGAGUCCUGCGGUUGAAACUGGUGCCCUUGGGUGCACAAGAGGCAGGCGGAACUCGUGGUGUAGCGGUGAAAUGCAUAGAUAUCACGAAGAACUCCGAUUGCGAAGGCAGCUUGCUGGGGUGUUACCGACGCUCAUGCUCGAAGGCGCGGGUAUCAAACAGGAUUAGAUACCCUGGUAGUCCGCGCAGUAAACGAUGGAUGCCCGCGGUGCGGCCGUUUAAGGUUACGCCGCCAAGCGAAAGCGUUAAGCAUCCCACCUGGGGAGUACGCCGGCAACGGUGAAACUCAAAGGAAUUGACGGGGGCCCGCACAAGCGGAGGAACAUGUGGUUUAAUUCGAUGAUACGCGAGGAACCUUACCCGGGCUUGAAAGGUGGUGGACGGCAGGCAGAGAGGCCUGCUUUCUUCGGACCGCCAUCUAGGUGCUGCAUGGUUGUCGUCAGCUCGUGCCGUGAGGUGUCGGCUUAAGUGCUAUAACGAGCGCAACCCUUUCCGCCGGUUGCCAUCGGGUAAUGCCGGGCACUCCGUCGGUACUGCCGCCGCAAGGCGUGAGGAAGGUGGGGAUGACGUCAAAUCAGCACGGCCCUUACGUCCGGGGCUACACACGUGUUACAAUGGGGGGCACAGCGAGCUGGAUGCAGGCGACUGCAUUCGAAUCAAGAAAUCCUCUCCCAGUUCGGAUUGCAGGCUGCAACCCGCCUGCAUGAAGUCGGAAUCGCUAGUAAUCGCAGGUCAGCAUACUGCGGUGAACACGUUCCCGGGCCU